UACAAACCUGGGAGAAGAACACACCACCUCAGGUGAUGUGCCUCUCUGCGCUACUGAAGAGAGGGGCUUGGACUGGAACCCAGGCUAGCCCAUCCCUCUGUGACAGCUCUGCCAAGGGAACUCGGAGAAGAGUUUGCCAUGGGAGGAGCACAAGCAGGAGCUCUGCAGGUCAGAGGUUGAGCUGGCAUCCGUCCCCUGUGGCAGGGUACACAACACAUCUGGGGCACAAGAUGGGGCUGAGCAUGAAGCUAGGUAGAGCCAAGGCCCCACACUCAGUUUCCUCAGAAGUUCCUGCAGAAGUUUGGAACCAGACAGGAAGGAGUUAAGGCGUCAGCAGCUUUUCACCGAUGCAGCCCCAGAGACGCACCCAAGGACCUUUGUCAGAUAGAUGAACUCAAUAUGCACAGGGGCCUGGGGAUGACAAGAAACCUGAGCCAGCACUAUAUGUCUGUGACCUAAGCCCGUCCUACGUACUGUGUUCCGGUAAGAGGAGUCCUAUUCCUCACUGGGACUGGACUAUUGAGAGGUUCCAUUCAAUGAAGGAUGAAACCCGGUAAACCUCCAGAGAGAGGAAUGCAUGGCGUAGUGCUGAUCCAGCAGAGGAGAGGGUUAGGGAA